rnacentral:lncRNA from 1 species
AAUAACAAUAGGGAUUUUGAGUUGAUUGAAUGGAUUUGGUACCCUAACAGUUAUGAAGAGUUCCUGCGGGUUAUCAGUGUUUUUCUUUCUUUUGAGGAAAUUGAAAAUCAAAUAUUUUGAUUUGGGAUAUGGAAGUAGAUGAAAUUGAAGGAAAACGAAUUGGACAGAAAGAGAAAAUCAAUGAAAUUGAAAAACCCUUUUAGGUUAUUGAAUUUUUCAGGGGAUAUGAAACUGGAAAGCAAUUGAAUAUACUAACAUUAAUAGUUUAGAGGGGAAAGAGUGAAAUUGGAAAAUCCUUUUAAUUUCUUGAGAUAUGGAGGUAGAGAAAAUUGAAAGAAAAUGAAUUUGGGAAUUAAAAGGAAAAGAGGAAGAAGAUGAGAUCCGAAAUUGAGAAAAAAGGAAGAAGAUGAGAUCUGAAAUUGCGAAAAGAAAAAAACUAAGGGAAAGAGAGAGAAAGGGAAGAUGGGUUAAAAUGAAAUUUGUGUUAUAGCAUAGAUCAAGUUAUAAAGGAAAUGGGUUAAACGGUGGGGAACUUAAUUUGACGACACAUAGUAAAUUUGGUAUUUAAAAUUUAUAAAAAAUUGGCUAAUAAAAUAUGACGUGUUGUUGUUAUAUAUGACCUCUAUACCCAAUUAACCCGUGGCAUGAAUAAGCCAUAGUCAUAACGAUCAUAGCAAAAGUGGUACCUAAUUUAUCUGCUAUCAACGACAAAUAAAUGAGAAAUUGCCAAGAGAAAUAUAUUCGUAAAAAGGAAAAAUAACUACAAUAAAAUAGUGCACUAAUCAAAGUACAAGAGACAAAUAGAUAGUAAAAAAAUCGAAGGACAAGAAACUAUAGGAGAAAUACUAGGGCUACCGCUAUGGAAGGAUAUGCAAGAGAAUAUUCUACUACCUAUUAACCUUCUAACCUAAUUCUUGUCUUCCACAACCUUCUAUCUAAGGUUCUGUCUAAUCACCUCUCCCCAAUACUUCUUCGGUCUAAUUCUAUCUAUCCUGAAACCAUUCAUAACCCCUCACACUUUUACAUGGGCAUCUGUGCAUUUCCUCUUCAUAUGCUUAAACCAUCACAGUCUCGCCUCUCGCAUCAUGCCCUCUAUUGAGACCACUCCUACCUUAUUUCAGACAUUCUUAAUCUAAUCUCUCAUAGUAUGCCGACACAUCCACCAAAACAUUCUCAUUUCUGCAACUUUAAUCUUGUGAACGUAAGAGUUCUUGACUAGCCAACACUCCGCCCCAUACUCUAACCACCACUCUGCAAUACUUGCCUUUGAGUUUUGAUGACAUCUUCUUAUCACACAAUACUCCAGAUGCGAGCCUACAUUUUAUCCACUCUGCACCAAUACAAUGUGUGACAUUAUCAUCACUUUGUCCAUUCCUUGGAUAAUAGACCCAAGAUACUUGAAUCUUCCUUUCUUUUGAUUGACAUGUGCAUCAAGCCUCACUUCUACUCCACCCUUACAUUAACAUAGCAAUAAAUUGAAGCAGUUCAAUUUAAAAUCUUACGGUAAUUAGUGCAGAUUUUAGAGUGUUUUUCUAUUUCAAAAAAAAAGAUUUUAGAGUGUUUACACACUCAUAAAUCCUAAUCGUAACUUAUCACAAGUGAAAGAAUGUUGUAAAAGAAAAACCCUAAAUUCUCUGACACAAUUAAAUAUAUGUAAACCCCUUUAAAAUCUUCCUGACUUGAUGUGAUACAGUAAAUUUUUAUAAUAAUACAACAAAUUUUGUGUCUAGUUGAUUUGGAGCACAUUCCACUUGUGAAAAAGGUAAAACUUGAAAAUGCAACAUUUUGCUAAGUACUAUCUUCUAUUUUACUUUAUGGUUUGAUUUGGAAUACAUUUCAAUGGUGAAAAAGGUAAACAUCUAAUCAAGGAAAAUGCUAUAGUAGCCUUGAAUUGUUAAUUGCCAUUUAGUAUUUCCAAACCAACAAAACAAAGCAUUUGGCUUGUGUAAAUGCUCUUUGUUUUCCCAGAACUCCACUGUUUUAGAAAUUUUUUUCAUAAAUAAAUCAAUGUGCUUCUUCAGGUCAAUUGAUUUUAUAGUUCCUCAAAUACAAAAUAGAUGAAAACUUUUCUGAACUGCUUUUUUGUUUUGUACUUACACCUUGAAUUUUGUUUUCCUGGAGUCGAAGAAAUCCUAAACUUUCUUCUUCUUUAUUCAAAUUGUAAAUGACUAUGUGACCAUUUCCUAGUUCCAAAUAGCCCAGGCCUAAGUGCAAAUAUAGUAGGAUAAUCUGUGUAUAAUAGACCCUUCUGACCAUUCCCCGGACCUCGCGCAUAGCGACAGCUUAGUGUACCGAGUGCCCUUCUUAAAGAGUUUAUAUCCUAGAUGCGCCCAUCUAAUAAGUCAUAUAUAAAAUGCAUUAUCUUGACCUUAAAGGGAGAUUAAAAAAAAAGAAGGUACCAAAAGUUUCAUCUUUAUUGCUAGUAACUAUGUUUUUCCCUAUGGCCUAAACACAAUUUGCUGUGAACCAAGCUAACUUAGUAAGGGCCUAUGAGUUAGAAGUGGUGAAAAAGAUUGGGCCGAGUAAAAUGUUGGAGCAUUUUAUUUGGGAAUCAGACCCAAUUAGCAUCUGGUUAAAAGGGAGAAGUGGUCUGAAAGAAGGGGUUAUGCUUGUUAUGAAGAAAAUCUUUGUUCCUCUUAUCUUCUUCUAGAUCUAAGUUUCUCAUCCUCAUUCUUAUCUAUAUCCGUAGUUACUUGUUAUUUCAAAUUUUCUAUUGUAAGUCAAUAGUUUAAGUGUUGCCGUUGUAAUUUGGCUAUCAGUGAUUAUAUAAUACUUGAGUAUUUGUGUUGAGAAUUCUAAUUUGUUACAUUGGUGCUUUCCUCCAUCGGUCUCCAACAAUGGCGAUGUUUCUACCUAGAUUCAGCGGCGACGGCAACCCAGAGAGCUGGAUUUUCUGGCCGAUUUGUACUUCACAAAUCUUGGCUUCGACGAGAAUGAUUGUUUUCCACUUCCUUCAUUCUACCUUUAUGGUGAAGCCUAUUUCACAAUAAGCUAAUUUUUGAUUGGAAGCAUUUCAAGGGUAAAUUUGCUCAGUGCUUUCAACAACAAACCAACAACAAUGUAGUGGGGCGUCUAGCUAAUUCAUCACAAGUUCAUUUUUGACUGCGUUAAUUAUGUCCCUAUAGUUUCACAAUCAGCUGUGGUGUCUCCCAGUCAUUUUCCAGCAUCAUCUGCCCUUGAUUUUGCCUAUGAAACUGGUAACUCAAAGGCGGACUUUGUGCUUUAUAAAUUGCCAGAGACGUAUUAACAUGUGGAUUCCUUGGCAUUGAUUACUGGAAGUAAUACUGAGACUGAAGCUCUUAAAGACAGGUACUCACCUCAUACAGGGAAUGCAAAGUCAGUAGAGGGAGCAAAUUUGGUAUCGGGACCUUUUUUCAAUGCUGAAAACAAGGCGUUCGAUGAAAUGUCACACACAACAGUGAGCUUUGAAAUUCAUGAUCUUUAACGCUAUUGUCCAUGAGGGAGAAACUUUGCAACUACAGUGCGACGAUAGCUUCUGUGUAGAUGUCAGCUUGAAUACGAAGGUGCCUACUGCGAUGUUAGAUGAUACGAAAGAAUCUAAUACUGAGGAGGAGGACAACCCAUGAGAUAAUGUAGCUUUGUUUGACAAAUGUCCUAAACGGGAUACAUCGGGGUUUUCUGGUUCCUUUUUCUAGCCAAGGUUCUGUAAUGUUGAAUGUGAGUAUGCAAAUUACUGCAAUCGAAUAUCCAUUUAUGGUUUCUAAUGGGAUCACACUAUUCCUUGUUUGCAUUAUUCUCUUGAAGAAAUGUGUGGGGGUAAACAAACUAGAGUGCCGCCUUACCUUGACUUUAGCUUACACAAAUGCAAUUGGGUUGAUACUGGGCAGGAGUGCAAUCUUCCUUGUUUCUUGUCGUCUAACUUGAGAGGGUGUGGUAGUGAGGAGAAAAUGGAGGAAGUACUCUAGGUAAAUUGUUGUAAGUUCCUCCAAGCAGUCACCAUAUACUUGAGCUGUUAGGCUCUUGUUUGCUAUGUUUGUUCUAGUCCAUAAAGCAAGGGUGACUUCGUCGUAUAUUGUCUUUGAUCCUGGUCCUUUUCUUGAUUAUGUCACAAUCUAUGCAAUAGACUCCACUUUUGGAGAUGGAAAAUCUAUAGAGGAGAGUGCUGUAACAGUACUAUUUGAACGCCCAGGUGUGAAGUUUCCUAUUGGGCAAGUACUCUCUGUGCAAAUUGGUAUCAUUUUUCCAUUAGGAAUCUGAUGUCAUACUAUAGAUGGUUCCUUUUGUAGUCCUGUGGACAAUUGGCUCGACACUGUGCAGGAUGAUAUAGGUGGUGCAUUGAUUGCUAAUGAAUCUUUAAAUUGGUUAUACUGCAAAGUUGUAUGAUUGGGGGUGUGUCGAUGGAGUUGAAAUUGAUAUUCAAAGCUAUGGUGCUUUCAACACUUCUUUUGCAAGUUACAAACUACUAGGAGAGUUUAUAGAGAAUUCAUUGAUGUGUCUUUAUAAUGGUGUUACUACUGUUUUGGUGCAAUUCAAUGCACCAGUGGUACAAUCUGAUAUAUCUGCUAAGACGAACCGUGACAUUCUAAUUUUUUCUCUUGGACAUGAUACUUUGUUGGAUUGGAUAACAAGGCCAGGGACGGAUUCAUUAAGGGAUUUGCCACACUCUACACCUGUUGUGAAGAGUGAAGAGGAAGAUAGUGGUGAAGCGAUUGGCAAAAAGAUGAUAAUUUCUCUAGUGAGGAAAUUGGAAUAUUAUGAUGCUGCUAUACUUAAGAUUCCGACAUUUGUUCAUGUCACAACUACAGUGCGACGAUAGAUUCUGUGAAGAUGCAGUAUGGUCGUGUUGAACUCCUAUUUUGACAUACAACACUCUUUUGAUUUAUACAUUAGGAUUCUUUCUGAAGGGACAAGGACGACCACUACAAAUAGAAAUCAACAACCAUUCUUCUGUCAAACUCGUCACUACAAAGGAUUGAUUUCACCAAAUGUAUUUUUGCUGCCCAACGUUGAAAUGAUGAGGUAUCAUAUUAAAAUCUGUUUGAUCCAUUUGUGAAUCUGGUCAAAGCUAACAGUCUUGUAGAAUAUUAAGUAUCUGUUCAAACCUUAUAGUCUUGAUGAAAUAUGAUGUUUGUCAUUUAUACACAUAUAUAUAAAAAAGUAGCAUACAUGUAUAUGAUACAUAGUGACCUGAAUUAGAUACAUCGAUCUAUUUCCGAAUUAACAUAUCUGAUGCAUCCGUUUUCAGCAUACAUAUAUUGUAAUUUCGGUUUUCUUGUAUCUAUUAGUUGGAUUAGUGAAUAGUAGUGGCUGGUAUUUUUUUUGUUCUCCUACCCGGUGUCCAGCCUCACUCCCUGGGCUAUUUGAACUAGACCAUGGACAGCAGAGGAAAAUAGGCAUGGUGAUCUUCUCAACAAAUAUCUUUAUCUUUCGUAAGAGUUGAUAUGAAGCAUAUUGAAAAGACAAUCCAUUACCCAAUUGGUUCUGGGAUGGUAAGAUUUUUACCAGACCUUAUGUUAUCAUGUAGGUUUGCUGAGGUUUAUAAUAAAUAGUGCAGCUUUUAGCAAGUGUUAUCUGUCUCUGUCCAUCUGCAUUUGGCUCCAAUAAACGUUGGUUACAUUUCUUUGAGUUAUUUGUACCAGUAACUGGUUUAUGAAUGAGUGCUCUUGGAAUAUCCCAUGACUAAGUGACCAUUUCAAUGCACCAGUGGUACAAUCUGAUAUAUCUGCAAAGACGAACCGUGACAUUGUCUUUUUUUCUAUUGGACAUGAUAUUUUGUUGGAUUGGAUAGCAAGGCCAGGGACAGAUUCAUUAAGGGAUUUGUCACACUCUACACCAGGGACGGAUUCAUUAAGUGAUUUGCCACACUCUACACCUGCUGUGAAGUGUGAAGAGGAAGAUAGUGGUGAAGCGAUUGGUAAAAAGAUGAUAAUCUCUCUAGUGAGGAACUUGGAAUAUUAUGAUGCUGCUAUACUUAAGAUUCCGACAUUUGUUCAUGUCACAACUACAGUGCGACGAUAGAUUCUGUGAAGAUGUCAGUAUGGUCGUGUUGAACUCCUAUUUUGACAUACAACACUCUUUUGAUUUAUACAUUAGAAUUCUUUCUGAAGGGACAAGGACGACCACUACCAAUAGAAAUCAACAACCAUUCUUCUGUCAAACUCGUCACUACAAAGGAUUGAUUUCACCAAAUGUAUUUUUGCUGCCCAACGUUGAAAUGAUGAGGUAUCAUAUUAAAAUCUGUUUGAUCCAUUUGUGAAUCUGGUCAAAGCUAACAGUCUUGUAGAAUAUUAAGUAUCUGUUCAAACCUUAUAGUCUUGAUGAAAUAUGAUGUUUGUUCUUUAUACAUAUAUAUAUAUAUAUAUAUAUAUACACAAGUAGUUUUAUAUUUUUCCUUUAUAUUAUAUUUGUUUGUAGGAUUAUUGGUACUUGUAAAUAUGAUACAUAGUGACCUGAAUUAGAUACGCCUUCUGGGUCGAGCUCGUCGCACCAGGCUUGCCUAGUGCGGGUUACCUCUCCUAUGUGGUUUGCGAGCUAUUGCAUAGGAGCGGGGGUUUUACCCUGUGCGCACCCAAAGGGUAGCGGCUGCGGGUUUCCCUUGUCAUCAAAAAAANNNNNNNNNNNNNNNNNNNNNNNNNNNNAUCUAUUUCCGAAUUAACAUAUCUGAUGCAUCCGUUUUCAGCAUACAUAUAUUGUAAUUUCGGUUUUCUUGUAUCUAUUAGUUGGAUUAGUGAAUAGUAGUGGCUGGUAUUUUUUUUGUUCUCCUACCCGGUGUCCAGCCUCACUCCCUGGGCUAUUUGAACUAGACCAUGGACAGCAGAGGAAAAUAGGCAUGGUGAUCUUCUCAACAAAUAUCUUUAUCUUUCGUAAGAGUUGAUAUGAAGCAUAUUGAAAAGACAAUCCAUUACCCAAUUGGUUCUGGGAUGGUAAGAUUUUUACCAGACCUUAUGUUAUCAUGUAGGUUUGCUGAGGUUUAUAAUAAAUAGUGCAGCUUUUAGCAAGUGUUAUCUGUCUCUGUCCAUCUGCAUUUGGCUCCAAUAAACGUUGGUUACAUUUCUUUGAGUUAUUUGUACCAGUAACUGGUUUAUGAAUGAGUGCUCUUGGAAUAUCCCAUGACUAAGUGACCAUUUCCUAGUUCCAAAAAGCUCAGGCUAGUGCAAAUAUAGCAGAAUAAGCUAUGUAUAAUAGACCCUUCCCCGGAUUAGCACAUAGAGGAAGCCCCUUUUAAGAGUUCAUGUCCUAGAUUCAUCCAUCAAUGCACCAGUGGUACAAUCUGAUAUAUCUGCAAAGACGAACCGUGACAUUGUCUUUUUUUCUAUUGGACAUGAUAUUUUGUUGGAUUGGAUAGCAAGGCCAGGGACAGAUUCAUUAAGGGAUUUGUCACACUCUACACCAGGGACGGAUUCAUUAAGUGAUUUGCCACACUCUACACCUGCUUACCAUACCCUCAAAGUUUCUUAAUACAAAUCUAUGGAAAAUUUAAUGUUCAGAAUUGCACUCCAACACAAGUGCAUUCAUCUCUUAAUCUCUUUCCUCCAAUUUUCUAAUCCGUAGAGCCAGUCCACAUACAUAAUCUUGUGCUCUGCGUCCUUCACCAGAAAGAUGCAGUAUAAAAAGAAGUCCACUAGCACCGGAAUCUUCCUCAAAAAGAGGCAGCAAGAGUAGUAUGAGUACAAAAUCAUGCAUACUCCAUUGGCAUCAUAGGCCUACCAAGUCAGAGUUAAUAACUAUAACAUAUAAAGGGAUGUUAUAAGCUCUGCACUCAGAAAAUGUCCCUGUAGUUCAAUAUAAGAUAGUCAAUAAGAAGCAACACAAAGCAAAAGAAUAAUAAAAAUGCAACGCAAUAUAAUGCAAUGCUAAUGACCCUACUAGCAUACACUCCACAGAAAAUGUUGUGAGGUGGGACCCAUGAGGGACCCGUGAGGUCCAUAUACCCUACCUGGACUCGAACCAAGACUUUCGUCGAUUCUAUAAAUUUACUUUCAAGUCAAGCCCUUAGACCACAUUUCACCACUAUAAACAUAUUGCUUUCAAUAAAAUCUUGACAAAUCAACCCCUCAUUAGUGAUAAAAUACCCAAGUUGAGUUUGAGAAAAGUAAGCAAUAACCUACCUUGAAAGUCGAGCAACGUGCCACACAUAGACAUAUAUUUAAAGUACUUCUCUUAGUAGCAUCACAGUUCUAUUAUAAGGGAGGAAUUUUAUCCUUGAUAGCAACGCAGGAACUCUUCAUAACUGUUAGGGUACCGAAUCCCAUUAGCUCAAAAUCCCUAUUGUUAUUGUCACCACUCAAUGAUGGUCCCUCCCCCCUACUUAAUUUCACUUCUGGAGGAUCCAUUCCGGUGUUGAUGAGGUGAGAGUAGAAAUUAAAAAUGUUGAGGAGGAAAUGAAGAAUAUAUCGAAAGUUAUAUGCUUCAUUUCUUAAUCAACAUUUUUAAUCUCUACUCUCACCUCAUCAACACCGGUAUGGAUCCUCCAGAAGUGAAAUUAAGUAAGGGGGGGGGGGGGUGAGUGGUGACAAUAACAAAAGGGAUUUUGAGCUGAUGGGAUUCGGUACCCUAAUAGUUACGAAGAGUUGUUGCGGGUCAUCAGUGUUUUUCUUUCUUUUGAGAAAAUUGAAUAUCAAAAUUUUUGAUUUGGGAUAUGGAAGUAGAUGAAAUAGAACUGGAAAGAAAGAGAAUAUCAAUGAAAUAGAAAAACCCUUAUAGGUUGUUGAAUUUUUCAGGGGAUAUGAAACUGGAUAGCAAUCGAAUAUACUAACAUUAAUAGGUUAGAGGGAAAAUAAUGAAAUUGGGAAAUCUUUUUCAUUUCUUGACUUUUUUGACUUUUUUGAGAUAUGGAGGAAGAGAAAAUUGGAAAUUAAAAGGAAAAGAGGAAGAGGAUGAGAUCUGAAAAUUGAGAAAAGGGAGAAGAUGAGAUCUUAAAUUGAAGAAAAAGGGAGAAGAUGAGAUCUGAAAUUGAGAAAAACGGAGAAAGAUAAGGUCUGAAAUUGAGAAGAAAAAAAGAAGAUGAGGUCUGAAAUUGAGAAAAAAAGGAAGAAGAUGAGAUCUGAAAUUACGAAAAGAAAAAACUAAGGGAAAGAGAGAGAUAGGGAAGAUGGGUUACAAUGAAAUUUGUUUUAUAGCCUAGAUCAAGUUAUAAAGGAAAUGAGUUAAACGAUGUGGGACUUAAUAUGACGACACGUAGUAAAUUUGGUAUAUUUUUUUUUUAAAAUGGCUAAUAAAAUAUGACGUGUUGUUAGAUAUGACCUUCUAUACCCAAUUAAACCGUGGCAUGAAUAAGCCAUAGUAAUAACGAUCAUAGCAAAAGUGGUACCUAAUUUAUCUUCUAUAAAGACAUCAACAACAAUUAAAUGAGAAAUUGCCAAGAGAAAUAUAUUCCUAAAAAGGAAAAAUAACUACAAUAAAAUAGUGUGCUAAUCAAAAGUACAAAAGACAAGUAGAAAGUAAAUAAAGUCGAAGGACAAGAAACUAUAGGAGAAAUAUCAAGGCUACCGCUAGGGGUGUUCACGGGUUGGUUUGGGUAGGUUAUUGGUCAAAACUAAAAUCAAAUCAAUUUAAUUAGUUUUGAAAUUAUCAAAACCAAACCAAAUAUAAUAUACAUUUAUCGGUUUGGUUGUUUUCGGUUUUGGUUUGGUUUGGUUUGGUUCGGUUAUUUCGUUAUUAACCAUACAAGAAAAUAAAAGAAACAAUUCAUUCAAAACGUGAAAAAAUUGACAACAAUCCAUUCAAACGAAAAAAUAGUUAGAAUGACCGGCAUUACAGAACUUUGGAUCAUUAAAUUUACUGAAUAAAACUUCAAAAUUCACUAUUUUGGCAUAGAAGGAAGAGAUAAUGAUAUUUUCAGUCCUACAAUGAAUUUCCAUAGAUACUCAUAUACAUGAAACCAAUAAGAAAAAGGUUCUCACCUUGGACAUUUUUUCUUUCAUAAGUAAAUUAUAAAUAAAUUUUGAUGAAACAUAUAUAAAAUCUUUAAAAUUGUUUAUGAAUAUAAUAUAUUAUGUAUGCAUAAUAAUAAAAUUUAUGUAUAUAACUUGUUGGUUCGGUUCGGUUAUUUCUUCAAAUUUUUUCGAACAAAACCAUAACCAAACCAAAUACUAUCGGUUCUUAACAAUCUAAAACCAAACCAAACCAAAACCCAAAUUAAAUCGGUUCAUUUAAUCGGUUUGAUUUGAUUUUUCGAUUUGAAUCGGUUUUAAUCCAAACCAUGAACACCCCUAAUUAUUUCCAUUAAGUUUUUCACUUUAUUUAAGUCAGUAAUAAUACUUUUGAUACCAUGUUUGUUAUUGACAUAUCUUUAGGCAAGAAUUUUAACAAUUAUGCAUGUGACAUACACAUUCAAGCAAAUCAAUAACCUUCUAUCUAAGGUCAUGUCCUUGGUAUAUUUAUAAGGCAUAUUUUCGCAUUUAUGAGCCAACUUUUAGAAUUUACGCAACUUUCUUGGUUUUUCGUAUGUAUUAACCUAUAGUCCCGUGAUUUUUAAGGCAUAUGCUUGAACCAUCACAGUCUAGCUUCCUGCAUCGUGUCCUUUAUUAAGACCACUCCUAUCUUAUUUCGGAUAUCUUCAUUCUUAAUCGAAUCUCUCAUAGUAUUCCGACAUAUUCACCACAACAUUCUCAUUUUCUCAAUUUUAAUAUUGUGAACGUAAGAGUUCUUGACUAGCCAACACUCCGCCCAAUACUCUAACCACCACUCUGCAGAACUUGUCUUUGAGUUUUGAUGGCAUCUUCUCAUCACACAAUACUUCAGAUACGAACCUACAUUUAAUCCACUCUGCAUCAAUACGAUGUGUGACAUUAUCAUCACUUUGUCCAUUCCUUGAAUAAUAGACCCAAGAUACUUGAUCUUCCUUUCUUUUGAAUGACAUGUGCAUCAAACUUCACUUCUACUCCACCCUUAUAUUAACAUACCAAUAAAUUAAAGCACUUCAAUUUAAAAUCUUAAGGUAAAAGUGUUUACAAACUCAUAAAUCCUAAUAGUAAAUUAUCACAAGUGAAAGAAUGUUGUAAAAGAAAAACCUUAAACUCUCUAACACAAUUAAAUAUGUAUAAACCCCUUUAAAAUGUUAAAGUAGCCUUGAAUUGUUAAUUGGCUAAUUGCCAUUUAGUAAGUCAUAUAGUUCAUCCAUCUAAUAAGUCAUUUAUAUAAUGCAUAAUCUUGACUUGAAAAGGAAAAAAUAAAGAGGGUACCAAAAGGUUCAUCUUUAUUGCUAAAAACUAUGUUUUUCCCUAUGGCCUAGACACAAUUGCAAAAAGAAAAACCAAUACUCUAGUGAAUUAGCUUCAACUACCCUGCACAGACUUCAUAUCAUACCCUUAAAGUUUCUUAACAUAAAUCUAUGGCAAAUUUAAUGAUCAGAAAGUAACAUGGCAUUGCCCUCCAACACAAGUGCAUUCAUAUCUUAAUCUCUUUACCAAAAAUCCAGCUGACAGGAACGGGACUUCGCUGCUUGGCCCUUGCCUGUGCUCUCUCCUCCAAUUUUCUAAUCCUCGGAGCCAGUCCACAUACAUAAUCUUGUGCUCUGCGUCCUUCACCAGAAAGAUGCAGUAUAAAAAGAAGUCCACUAGCACCGGAAUCUUCCUCAAAAAGAGGCAGCAAGAGUUGUAUGAGUACAAAAUCAUGCGUACUCCAUAGGCAUCAUAGGCCUACCAACCAGAGUUAGUAACAAUAAUGUACAGAGGAUGUUAUUAACUGUGCACUCAGAAAAUGUCCCUGCAGUUCAGUAUAAGAUAGUCAAUAAGAAGCAACGCAAAGCAAAACAAUAAUAAAAAUGCAACGCAAUAUGAUGCAAUGCUAAUGACCCUACUAAUCCUCCAAUUUUCUAAUCCGCGGAGCCAGUCCACACACAUAAUCUUGUGCUCUGCGUCCUUCACCAGAAAGAUGCAGUAUAAAAAGAAGUCCACUAGCACCGGAAUCUUCCUCAAAAAGAGGCAGCAAGAGUUGUAUGAGUACAAAAUCAUGCGUACUCCAUAGGCAUCAUAGGCCUACCAACCAGAGUUAAUAACUAUAACGUACAGAGGAUGUUAUAAACUGUGCACUUAGAAAAUGUCCCUGCAGUUCAGUAUAAGAUAGUCAAUAAGAAGCAACGCAAAGCAAAACAAUAAUAAAAAUGCAACGCAAUAUGAUGCAAUGCUAAUGACCCUACUAACAUACACUCCACAGGAAAUGUUGUCAGGUGGGACCCAUGAGGGACUUGUGAGGUCCAUAUACCCUACCUGGACUCGAACCAAGACUUUCGUCAAUAUAGUCUGUCCGAUUCAAUAAAUUUACUUUCAAGUCAAGCCCUUAGACCACAUUUCACCACUAUAAGCAUAUUGCUUUCAAUAUAAUGUCAAUCUUGACAAAUUAACCCCUCAUAUGUGAUAAAAUACCCGAAAUUGAGUAAAACUUGGCAAUGAUGUAAUUUCAAGUCAUCACCCGAGUUAAGUAUGAGAAAAGUAAGCAAUAACCUACCUUGAAAGUCGAGUAACGUGCCACACAUAAAUGCACAGACAUAUAUUUAAAGUACUUCUUUUAGUAGCAUCACGGCUCAAUUAUAAGGGAGUAAUUUUAUCCUUGAUAGCAACGCAGGAACUCUUCAUAACUGUUAGGGUACCGAAUCCCAUCAGCUAAAAAUCCUUAUUGUUAUUGUCACCACUCAAUGAUGGUCCCUCCCCCCUACUUAAUUUCACUUCUGGAGGAUCAAUACUGGUGGUGAUGAGGUGAAAGUAGAGAUUAAAAAUGUUUAGGAGGAAAUGAAGAAUAUAUCAGAAAAUAAUUCUGUUGGAAAGUUUGAGGAAAUCACGUCGUUAGACGUAAAGGACUAUGAAGACCUGGGGUUGAUAAUAGAACUAGAGGAAUUAGGAGAAAGUAGUUUUGAAAAUUCUAGCAUAUAUUUUAAUGUACCAUAUAAGGUGUACAACACUAGCUUUUUCAAAAUUACUUAUCCCUAAUUCCUCCAAUUCUACAAUCAAUCCCAACUCCUCAUAGUCUUUCACGUCUAACGACGUGAUUUCUUCCAGCUUUUCAAUAGAACUAUUUUUUGAUAUAUCUUCACUUCCUCCUCAACAUUUUUAAUCUCUACUCUCACCUCAUCACCACCGGUAUUGAUCCUCCAGAAGUGAAAUUAAGUGGGGGCAGGGGGGAACCAUCAUUGAGUGGUGACAAUAACAAUAGGGAUUUUGAGAUGAUUGAAUGGAUUUGGUACCCUAACAGUUACGGAGAGUUGUUGCGGAUCAUCAGUGUUUUUCUUUCUUUUGAGAAAAUUGAAUAUCAAAUAUUUUGAAUUGGGAUAUGGAAGUCGAUGAAAUUGAAUUGGAAAGAAAGAGAAUAUCAAUGAAAUAGAAAAACCCUUAUAGGUUCUUGAAUUUUUCAGGGGAUAUGAAACUAGAAAUCAAUCGAAUAUACUAACGUUAAUAGUUUAAAGGGGAAAGAAUGAAAUUGGAAAAUCCUUUUCAAUUUGAGAUAUGGAGGUAGAGAAACUUGAAAGAAAAUGAAUUGGAAAUUAAAAGGAAAAGAGGAUGAGAUCUGAAAUUGAGAAAAAGGGAAGAAGAUGAGAUCUGAAAUUGAGAAAAAAGGAAGAAGAUGAGAUCUGAAAUGGAGAAAAAAAGAAGAAGAUUAGAUCUGAAAUCGGGAAAAGAAAAAAUUAAGGGAAAGAGAGAGAAAGGGAAGAUGGGCUAAAAUAAAAUUUGUGUUAUAGCAUAGAUCAAGUUAUAAAGGAAAUGAGUUAAACGGUGGGGGAUUUAAUUUGACGACACGUCGUAAAUUUGGUAUUUAAAAUUUUUAAAAAAUUGGCUAAUAAAAUAUGACGUGUUGUUAGAUAUGACAUUCUAUACCCAAUUAACCCGUGGCAUGAAUAAGCCAUAGUCAUAACGAUCAUAGCAAAAGUGGUACCUAAUUUAUCUGCUAUAAAGACAUCAACAACAAAUAAAUGAGAAACUGCCAAGAAAAAUAUAUUCCUAAAAAGGAAAAAUAACUACAAUAAAAUAGUGUGC